rnacentral:rRNA from 1 species
GACGAACGCUGGCGGCGUGCUUAACACAUGCAAGUCGAGCGGUAAGGCCCUUUCGGGGGUACACGAGCGGCGAACGGGUGAGUAACACGUGGGUGACCUGCCCUCAGCUCUGGGAUAAGCCUGGGAAACCGGGUCUAAUACUGGAUAUGACUCCAUGACGCAUGUUGUGGGGUGGAAAGCCUUGUGCGGCUGAGGAUGGGCCCGCGGCCUAUCAGCUUGUUGGUGGGGUGANGGCCUACCAAGGCGACGACGGGUAGCCGGCCUGAGAGGGCGACCGGCCACACUGGGACUGAGACACGGCCCAGACUCCUACGGGAGGCAGCAGUGGGGAAUAUUGGACAAUGGGGGAAACCCUGAUCCAGCGACGCCGCGUGUGUGAAGAAGGCCUGCGGGUUGUAAAGCACUUCGGUGGGAAC